rnacentral:rRNA from 1 species
GCUCAGGAUGAACGCUGGCGGCGUGCCUAACACAUGCAAGUCGAGCGGACCAAUGCUCAUUUCAGCUUUGCUGAUUUGAGCAACGGUUAGCGGCGGACGGGUGAGUAACGCGUGGGCAACCUGCCCUGUGCAGGGGGAUAACACAGCGAAAGCUGUGCUAAUACCCCAUAAGACUACGCUAUCGCAUGAUAGAGUAGUCAAAGCUUUAGCGGCACAGGAUGGGCCCGCGUCUGAUUAGCUAGUUGGUGGGGUAACGGCCUACCAAGGCGACGAUCAGUAGCCGACCUGAGAGGGUGAUCGGCCACACUGGAACUGAGACACGGUCCAGACUCCUACGGGAGGCAGCAGUGGGGAAUAUUGCACAAUGGGGGAAACCCUGAUGCAGCAACGCCGCGUGAGCGAAGAAGGCCUUCGGGUCGUAAAGCUCUGUCCUAAGGGAAGAAGUAUGACGGUACCUUAGGAGGAAGCCCCGGCUAACUACGUGCCAGCAGCCGCGGUAAUACGUAGGGGGCGAGCGUUAUCCGGAAUCACUGGGCGUAAAGGGUGCGUAGGCGGCCGAGUAAGCCAGAGGUGAAAGGCUACGGCUUAACCGUAGUAAGCCUUUGGAACUACUUGGCUUGAGUGCAGGAGAGGAGAGUGGAAUUCCUAGUGUAGCGGUGAAAUGCGUAGAUAUUAGGAGGAACACCAGUGGCGAAGGCGACUCUCUGGACUGUAACUGACGCUGAAGCACGAAAGCGUGGGGAGCAAACAGGAUUA